AUUUGGCGGACGGGUGAGUAAUGCAUCGGAACGUACCCGGUAGUGGGGGAUAACUACCCGAAAGGGUGGCUAAUACCGCAUAUACUGUGCGCAGGAAAGCAGGGGACCUUCGGGCCUUGUGCUACCGGAGCGGCCGAUGUCAGAUUAGGUAGUUGGUGGGGUAACGGCCUACCAAGCCUGCGAUCUGUAGCGGGUCUGAGAGAAUGAUCCGCCACACUGGGACUGAGACACGGCCCAGACUCCUACGGGAGGCAGCAGUGGGGAAUUUUGGACAAUGGGCGCAAGCCUGAUCCAGCCAUGCCGCGUGAGUGAAGAAGGCCUUCGGGUUGUAAAGCUCUUUCGGACGGAAAGAAAUCGUGCAGGCUAAUACCCUGCGCGGAUGACGGUACCGUCAUAAGAAGCACCGGCUAACUACGUGCCAGCAGCCGCGGUAAUAAUC
rnacentral:rRNA from 1 species